GCAACUUUGCCGGAGUGGUUAACGGGAUCGCCUGCUAUUAUAGCAAUUCAGCGGUUGUGCUUUGCACGCGAGAGUUCGAAUCUCUUAGGUUGCG